rnacentral:rRNA from 1 species
GAUGAACGCUGACAGAAUGCUUAACACAUGCAAGUCUACUUGAAUUUGGGUUUUUUCACUUAGAUUUGGGUGGCGGACGGGUGAGUAACGCGUAAAGAACUUGCCUCACAGCUAGGGACGACAUUUGGAAACGAAUGCUAAUACCUGAUAUUAUGAUUAUAAGGCAUCUUAGAAUUAUGAAAGCUAUAUGCGCUGUGAGAGAGCUUUGCGUCCCAUUAGCUAGUUGGAGAGGUAACGGCUCACCAAGGCGAUGAUGGGUAGCCGGCCUGAGAGGGUGAACGGCCACAAGGGGACGGAGACACGGCCCUUACUCCUACGGGAGGCAGCAGUGGGGAAUAUUGGACAAUGGACCAAGAGUCUGAUCCAGCAAUUCUGUGUGCACGAUGACGUUUUUCGGAAUGUAAAGUGCUUUCAGUUGGGAAGAAAAAAAUGACGGUACCAACAGAAGAAGUGACGGCUAAAUACGUG